rnacentral:rRNA from 1 species
GACGAACGCUGGCGGCGUGCUUAACACAUGCAAGUCGAACGGAAAGGCCCUGCUUUUGUGGGGUGCUCGAGUGGCGAACGGGUGAGUAACACGUGAGUAACCUGCCCUUGACUUUGGGAUAACUUCAGGAAACUGGGGCUAAUACCGGAUAGGAGCUCCUGCUGCAUGGUGGGGGUUGGAAAGUUUCGGCGGUUGGGGAUGGACUCGCGGCUUAUCAGCUUGUUGGUGGGGUAGUGGCUUACCAAGGCUUUGACGGGUAGCCGGCCUGAGAGGGUGACCGGCCACAUUGGGACUGAGAUACGGCCCAGACCCCUACGGGAGGCAGCAGUGGGGAAUAUUUCACCAUGGGCGGAAGCCUGAUGCAGCAACGGCGGGUGCGGGAUGACGGCCUUCGGGGUGUAAACCGCUUUCGCCUUGGACGAAGCGUGAGUGGGGGUAAUGGGUAAAGAAGCACCGGCUAACUACGUG